AUACGGAGGAUGCGAGCGUUAUCCGGAUUUAUUGGGUUUAAAGGGAGCGUAGGUGGGAUAUUAAGUCAGCUGUGAAAGUUUGGGGCUCAACCUUAAAAUUGCAGUUGAUACUGGUUUCCUUGAGUACGGUACAGGUGGGCGGAAUUCGUGGUGUAGCGGUGAAAUGCUUAGAUAUCACGAAGAACUCCGAUCGCGAAGGCAGCUCACCGGGCCGGAACUGACACUGAUGCUCGAAAGUGCGGGUAUCAAACAGGAUUAGAUACCCUGGUGGUCCGCACAGUAAACGAUGAAUACUCGCUGUUUGCGAUACACGGUAAGCGGCCAAGCGAAAGCGUUAAGUAUUCCACCUGGGGAGUACGCCGGCAACGGUGAAACUCAAAGGAAUUGACGGGG
rnacentral:rRNA from 1 species